rnacentral:rRNA from 1 species
UACGAAGGGGGCUAGCGUUGCUCGGAAUUACUGGGCGUAAAGCGCACGUAGGCGGUCUUUUAAGUCGGGGGUGAAAUCCUGGAGCUCAACUCCAGAACUGCCUUCGAUACUGGAAGACUUGAGUCCGGGAGAGGUGAGUGGAACUGGCGAGUGUAGAGGUGAAAUUCGUAGAUAUUCGGAAGAACACCAGUGGCGAAGGCGGCUCACUGGACUGGUAUUGACGCUGAGGUGCGAAAGCGUGGGGAGCAAACAGG